UACGGGGGGGGCAAGCGGUUGUUCGGAAUUACUGGGCGUAAAGGGCGCGUAGGCGGUUCGCUAAGUCGGAUGUGAAAACUCUGGGCUCAACCCAGAGCCUGCAUCCGAAACUGGCGGGCUAGAGUUCUGGAGGGGGUAGCGGAAUUCCUGGUGUAGCGGUGAAAUGCGUAGAUAUCAGGAGGAACACCGGUGGCGAAGGCGGCUACCUGGACAGAAACUGACGCUGAGGCGCGAAAGCUAGGGGAGCAAACAGG
rnacentral:rRNA from 1 species